UACGUAGGGGGCAAGCGUUUGUCCGGAUUUAUUGGGCGUAAAGAGCGUGUAGGCGGCCAAACAGGUCAGCUGUGAAAACUCGAGGCUCAACCUCGAGACGUCGGUUGAAACCGUUUGGCUAGAGUCCGGAAGAGGAGAGUGGAAUUCCCGGUGUAGCGGUGAAAUGCGCAGAUAUCGGGAAGAACACCCGUGGCGAAGGCGGCUCUCUGGGACGGUACUGACGCUGAGACGACGAAAGCGU
rnacentral:rRNA from 1 species